rnacentral:misc_RNA from 1 species
GAGGGAGAGGGAGAGGGAGAGAGAAAAAAACACUUGCUAUCCUUCUUGCUCUUCGUUCAUCAAAAUGAACUUUUGGGAACACAGUGUGUAUUUGGGAAAGAUUUGGCCCAAAUAUAAUAUAGCAGAAAAGAAUUAGAUUACGUUAAAAAAAGUACAUGAUUCCACUAUUCACGAGAUGCAAAGAAAGCUGGUGCUGAAUGCUAAUUGUCUCUAUU